UACGAGGGGGGCAAAUGUUGUUCGGAAUCACUGGGCGUAAAGGGAGCGUAGGCGGGUUUCUAAGUCAGGUGUUUAAUCCCGGGGCCCAACCCCGGACAGGCACUUGAAACUGGAAAUCUUGAAUAGUGGAGAGGUCAGUGGAAUUGCCGGUGUAGUGGUGAAAUGCGUAGAGAUCGGCAGGAACACCCAGGGGGAAACCAGCUGCCUGGGCAAGCGCUGACGCUGAGGUGCGAGAGCGUGGGGAGCGAACCGG
rnacentral:rRNA from 1 species